rnacentral:rRNA from 1 species
UACGGGGGGGCAAGCGUUGUUCGGAAUUACUGGGCGUAAAGGGCUCGUAGGUGGCCAACUAAGUCGGACGUGAAAUCCCUCAGCUUAACUGGGGAACUGCGUCCGAUACUGGAUGGCUUGAGUUUGGGAGAGGGAUGCGGAAUUCCAGGUGUAGCGGUGAAAUGCGUAGAUAUCUGGAGGAACACCGGUGGCGAAGGCGGCAUCCUGGACCAACACUGACACUGAGGAGCGAAAGCCAAGGGGAGGCAAACGGG